UGAGCAAUCUGCCCUUCUCAUCGGAAUAAGCGUGGGAAACCGCGUCUAAUGCCGAAUACGACCUCCUUUCGCAUGAUCGGAGGUGGAAAGCUCCGGCGGAGAAGGAUGAGUUCGCGGCCUAUCAGCUGGUUGGUGAGGUAAUGGCUCACCAAGGCUUCGGACGGGUAGCCGGCCUGAGAGGGCGACCGGCCACACUGGGACUGAGAUACCGGCCCAAACUCCGUACGGGAGGNAGCG
rnacentral:rRNA from 1 species